CCAGCUGAGAUUCUAGGAGCAGUAUAAUUAGUUUCACUUCCUGUGGAAUCUGGACCUGGAAUGUCUCCCAAAGUCCACGUGUGAAAGGAAGGUCCCCAGAUUACAGUGCUAUCAGAACUUUUAGGAAGUGGGCCCAUUAGAAGAAAGUUAUGUCAUUGGGGCCACACCCUUGAAGAAAAUAUUGGAGCCUCAGUCCUCUCCUGGGGUGUUUCCCGGCUGCCACGAGAUGAAGUUUUAUCCACCACACCUCUGGCUGUGAUGUACUAUGCUAGUUACAACAGGUCCUUUGAAACUGGGGAAGAGCUUCAGCACACUAAUCCAAAGGACGUUGAAACAUCCCAUCUAGCUGUGUGAAACUGUCCUCUGAAGUGGUUAUACCAUCUUGCAGUCACACCUCCAACAAAGACUUCCGUGAUUCUGUGGUUCCGUGUCUCCACGUCCUCCUCAGCACUGGGGUCAGUGCUCUGUGUUUUAGGUUUCAGCACACACUCCCCAGGUGGUGGAGCUAUUUGGGAGACGUGGCCUUGUUGAUGGAAGCGGGUCACCGGAGGCACACCUUGAGAGCUUGAAGAGUCCCAUCAUUUCUCGUUGCUCUGAUGGCUCCAUGCUUGUGGUCCAGGUUGUGAGCUUUCAGGAUCCUGGCUCUAGUUCCCGUGCCUGCCUGCUACUGUGAUAGUGGAGGACAUUAUCUCCCUGGAACUAGAAGCCUUAAUAAACCCUUCC